UGGUGGAGUGAUCUGUCUGGUUAAUUCCGAUAACGAACGGGACCUCAACCUGCUAAAUAGUUCCGCCCCCAGCAGGGCGCAACUUCUUAGAGGGACUUCCUAGGCUACUAGGAGGAAGUGUGAGGCAAUAACA
rnacentral:rRNA from 1 species